rnacentral:misc_RNA from 1 species
AACGCACGAGACCUGCGGACCUGCGGAGGGAUCAUUAACAAGUCGAGGUGUGUGGUAUAUGGUGUGGGAUAAAAACCAUAUCAUUACCAUGCAUAAUUAUGAUUAACCCACAGACGACGGAUAGUUGUUCUGUGUAGUCGGAUUUAAAAUUUGGCUAGGUGAAUUUUUUUGGUUGGUGUGUGGUGUGGUGUGUGUGUGUGGUGUGUGUAUGUGAGUAUAAUAUAAGUUGUUAUGAGCAAC